rnacentral:rRNA from 1 species
UACGUAGGGGGGCUAGCGUUGUCCGGAAUCAUUGGGCGUAAAGCGCGUGUAGGCGGUCCGGUAAGUCCGCUGUGAAAGUCGGGGGCUCAACCCUCGGAUGCCGGUGGAUACUGUCGGGCUUGAGUACGGAAGAGGCGAGUGGAAUUCCUGGUGUAGCGGUGAAAUGCGUAGAUAUCGGGAGGAACACCUGAGGCGAAGGCGGGCUACUGGGCCGAUACUGACGCUGAUGCGCGAAAGCCAGGGGAGCGAACGGG